rnacentral:rRNA from 1 species
GUCUACAGCUAUACCACCCUGAAUAAGCUGGAUGUCUCAUCUCAGACGCUAAGCAGGGCCAGGUCUGGUUAGUACUUGGAUGGGAGACCACCUAGGAAGACCAGGUACUGUAGGCA